rnacentral:rRNA from 1 species
AUUGAACGCUGGCGGCAGGCCUAACACAUGCAAGUCGAGCGCGAAAGUCUUCGGAUGAGUAAAGCGGCGAACGGGUGAGUAAUGCAUGGGAAUCUGCCUGGUAGUGGGGGACAACGUCUCGAAAGGGACGCUAAUACCGCAUACGCCCUACGGGGAAAGGGGGAGUCUUCGGACCGUCUCGCUAUCAGAUGAGCCCAUGUCAGAUUAGCUAGUUGGUGAGGUAAAGGCUCACCAAGGCGACGAUCUGUAACUGGUCUGAGAGGAUGAUCAGUCACACUGGAACUGAGACACGGUCCAGACUCCUACGGGAGCAGCAGUGGGGAAUAUUGGACAAUGGGGCGAACCCUCGAUCCA